UACGUAGGGUGCGAGCGUUGUCCGGAAUUAUUGGGCGUAAAGGGCUCGUAGGCGGUUUGUCGCGUCGGGAGUGAAAUCCACUGGCUUAACUGGGGAACUGCGUCUGAUACUGGAUGGCUUGAGGUUGGGAGAGGGAUGCGGAAUUCCAGGUGUAGCGGUGAAAUGCGUAGAUAUCUGGAGGAACACCGGUGGCGAAGGCGGCAUCCUGGACCAAUUCUGACGCUGAGUGAGCGAAAGCCAGGGGAGCAAACGGG
rnacentral:rRNA from 1 species